rnacentral:lncRNA from 1 species
UACUAUAUAUAUAUACACACACACACAUACACAUUAUUAGAUUCUAAAGAUUUCUCGUGGAAAAUUUAAAAAAUGCAAUUUUUCUUAUGGUGUUUUGACGAAUUUUAUCUAAGUAUUAGAAUGUAGUGAACAAACUUAACAACAUAAAUUUGUUCUCACUUAACAAAAUAAAUUAGAAUGUAAGGAACAAAGUUAAUGCAUUUAAUCAGGAAAAAUGAUAUCAUGAUAUAGAUAUAAGUAUAUAUAAUUUUCUCUAUUAAUUGAAGCUUGGAUAAAUAUUUUUUUCUCUUUUUUUUUUUUUGGGUGAUAGAGAAUUUCUACAUAUAAAUAUAAAUUAUCAGGUUCUAUAACGAACGUUUAAGUAAGUCUAUCGUUAGAAUUUAAUUCAAAAUUAAUAAUUUAGUAAUCACUAAAUUAAUGUUGUAAUUUAAAAAUGGUAAUUAAGAAUCUCAAUUAAUUUCAUUUUUGGCUAUAAAAUGAAUAUUCGUUCUCUUUCGUUUCAACCAUUCGUCCUUAUAUGCUACUCUUUUUUAUCGAUCAACUCUAGUACUAACAAAAAGUUAAAAAAUUUGGGAAUCAAACAUGUCUAGCAAAACUCAACAAGUUGGUCUACUAUUGCUUUUGGUCACAUUGGUUGCGAUAUUGGUCCA